rnacentral:sRNA from 1 species
CGGAAGGAUCAUUGUCGAAUCUUAAAAAGGACUUGCGAAUAUGUUCAAUUACUUGCGUUGGGUGCCGGGGUAAAACCCCCCUGCCCUUUGCUCCUUGCUCGCCUUGGUCGUUGGUCUUGUCGGGUAAAACGUAACAAAAAUCGGUGCGGGAAGCACCAAGGACUUGCGAAAUGGGAUGCCUUUCCCGUGGGGGUGGACCGUUUGCGGAAUCCUCACCAUGGGGAGUAAAAGGAAUCCAAACAAUAACAUUGUACGACUCUCGACAACGGAUAUCUAGGCUCUCGCAUCGAUGAAGAACGUAGCAAAAUGCGAUACUUGGUGUGAAUUGCAGAAUCCCGUGAAUCAUCGAGCUUUUGAACGCAAGUUGCGCCCGAAGCCAUUAGGCCGAGGGCACGUCUGCCUGGGUGUCACGCAUCACGUCGCCCUCCUCCCCUUGGUCCCUUGAGGUCCUUGGGUGAAGUUUGCGAGGCGGAAUUUGGCUUCCCGUGCUCUGUCGUGGCCAGCCUAAAAAUGUUGCUCCCUCGCCGCGCACAAUGCGACAAGUGGUGGUCGAUUCGAUUGAGCGCGAGUUGUCAACAGGUCGCGCCGAGGAGAGCUCCCGGACCUUUUCCGCACGAAGUCCCUCUUGGAGGGACAACUCUCCACGACUGCGACCCCAGGUCAGGC